rnacentral:misc_RNA from 1 species
GAUGAAGAACGCAGCGAAAUGCGAUAAUUAAUGUGAAUUGCAGAAUUCCGUGAAUCAUCGAGUCUUUGAACGCACAUUGCGCCUCAUGGCAUUCCGUGAGGCAUGCCCAUCUCAGCGUUAGAAAAUAUUCUCAAAUUUUAGUUUUGUGCUAAAAUUUGGAUCAUGUCAAGGAAGCUAUUACUAUUAUUGUGAUCGCUCUUUGGAAAUUGAUAGGUCUUUGAGUUGCUACUCAUAGAACGUGAUGAAUCUUUCUUCGUUCUAUUGUAAUUCACUCUGGUAGGCCUAAAACUUGUAUGCCUGUGGCAUAUCUUGUAAUUUGACCAGAGAUUGGGUAGGGAUACCCGCUGAACUUAAGCAUAUCAAUAAGCGGAGGA